rnacentral:rRNA from 1 species
UGCGUAGGCGGGCUAAUAAGUCAGUGGUGAAAUCUCUCGGCUCAACCGGGAAACUGCCAUUGAUACUGUUAGUCUUGAGUUCGGUUGAGGUAGGCGGAAUGUGUAAUGUAGCGGUGAAAUGCUUAGAUAUUACACAGAACACCAAUUGCGUAGGCAGCUCACUAGACCGACACUGACGCUGAGGCACAAAAGCGUGGGGAGCGAACAGGAUUAGAUACCCUGGUAGUCC